GACGGAGGAUGCAAGUGUUAUCCGGAAUCACUGGGCGUAAAGCGUCUGUAGGUGGUCAAAUAAGUCAACUGUUAAAUCUUGAGGCUCAACCUCAAAAUCGCAGUCGAAACUAUUAGACUAGAGUAUAGUAGGGGUAAAGGGAAUUUCCAGUGGAGCGGUGAAAUUCGUAGAUAUUCGGAAGAACACCAGUGGCGAAGGCGACUAACUGGACAUGUAUUGACGCUGAGGUGCGAAAGCGUGGGGAGCAAACAGG
rnacentral:rRNA from 1 species